rnacentral:lncRNA from 1 species
UUUGAAUGAUUCAUAAAUAGAUAUGCCUCUUUUUUUAUUCCCCCCCCCCCCCCCACAGACUUCCACAUGCUGCUCAAAUCAACACCAGGCCAGUGUGUUUGUCUCAAAUGAGCAGUGUUUUCAAUAGUGUGCCACUACUAUUUGGAACAGCACAAGCUUUCCUAUUGAGACUAGCACAACUUGAAGCUCAGUUGGUUUUGAACCUGAUUAGUAAUGUUGCAGCUGUAAAUAAUAGCAGUUAUGGGAACCCCCUUGUUCCUUUAAAUCUCUUACAGCCUGUUGGCAUUCAAAGAGCCACAUUUUUGAGCAUGUACCAGCACCCAGGGGGUUUUAAAAACAUGGAUUCCAUACCUCACAUGAUUAGCCACCCCUCAACAUCUGUCACAGACAUUAAUUCAGUAAUUUCCUAUAAGGAGAGUGGUGCCCUUCUAGCAAAAGAGAUCAUUCAGGAGAAAGCUCUAGGUCCCAUCAUGAAUAACACAACGUUGCCACUGCAAGCAUCUGAGGAAGCUCUUGUUAGAUCCAGUCACAACCAUCUUGGCAAACAUUUCACCUUCAAACCAGACGUGGACUGUUCUCAAUAUCAGUCAAUGAUAGCCAAAGCAAUGAUGCCUCCUGACAGACCUCAAACCGAAGAAGCAGAGCCAAAGCAACAAACAAUGCUGUAUUUUCCAACAGACAACCUGAACAAAGCUUUGACCAGCCUUGGCCUUUCUCUUGAGGAUCUAGAAUUACUCAGCCAUUGCCCAGACAACCAGUUAACAACAGAGAAUCUCCCCUUCAUUAUACAAGACAUUCAACAGCACAAAGGAACAAAGGACAUUAAAUAUGGCCAUGCUACAUGGAACUCAUCUGAUCAAGUGGAAUCAUCCAGGGGGUCAUCAUACGCUCAUGGGGAACAGAGGAAUCAAAGGAUUAUUAACGGUGAAUGGCAAGAAUCCCAUUCCCAUAGAUCCCUCAGCCCUGAAAAAUGCUGCCCAUCUGAACUCAUUCAUGAGCACUUCUCGACCCAGUCUAAAACACUGAAAAGAAUAAGACAUUCAUCAGGAAGAGGCUCAAAUUCCUUCCUAAAGAGGCUGCAACAUGGGUCUGCUGAGGUCACCAGGUGGAGGAGGCCUGGUUCAGUCUAUUUUCCCCCUCACUCAAAAUGCAGCACAAGGCAAGAGUUUGUCUCUUUAGACUGUAAUAAAGCAAUACACUAUACUACACAAAGAACCUUGUCUUCUUCACGCAGAUCUACCACUUACAAUGGCAUGAAAAAAGGUCAUCAACAAUCUUCAUUUCCAGUCAAAUCUGCAAAAUCUGAAGUAACCACUGAUUCCAUGAACAUUCAGAUGCCAGUAACUAAGAUGACUGCAAAAACAUCAGCACAGACUAAGGGUGUGAUUCGUGUGUCUGGAAUCCCUCUUGAUUACUCUGAGAGUGAACUCAUCAAAAUGGCAUCUCCCUUUGGUCACCCUGUUGAGGUAUUAAUGGCAACUGAGGUUGACACAACAACCUGUCUAGAAUGGAAGAAGGCUUUACUGAUGUUUCCAACUGAAUUCUCAGCCCAGGAGAUGGUGAAGGUUUACUCUGCUAUCCCAGUUCACAUGAGGCAGCAAAGUUUAGAGCUGGUGUCCCAAAUGGUUGACUUUAGUUCACCUGUGAGUUAA